CCCAGACUCCUACGGGAGGCAGCAGUGGGGGAUAUUGCACAAUGGGGGGAACCCUGAUGCAGCGACGCCGCGUGGGUGAAGGAGCGUUUCGGCGCGUAAAGCCCUAUCGGCAGGGAAGAAGGAGGACGGUACCUGACUAAGAAGCCCCGGCUAACUACGUGCCAGCAGCCGCGGUAAUACGUAGGGGGCAAGCGUUAUCCGGAUUUACUGGGUGUAAAGGGGGCGCGGACGGCAGCGCAAGCCAGGAGUGAAAGCCCGGGGCCCAACCCCGGGACUGCUCUUGGAACUGCGCGGCUGGAGUGCAGGAGGGGCAGGCGGAAUUCCUGGUGUAGCGGUGAAAUGCGUAGAUAUCAGGAGGAACACCGGUGGCGAAGGCGGCCUGCUGGACUGCGACUGACGUUGAGGCCCGAAAGCGUGGGGAGCAAACAGGAUUAGAUACCCCCGUAU
rnacentral:rRNA from 1 species